CCAUCCCGAAAGUAGAUCAGCGGGAUGACAGCGUAUUUGUCAGCCUGAAAGAUGACCCGUAUAACUAAAAAGGCCGCAUUGCGGCCUUUUUUCU
rnacentral:sRNA from 2 species